UACGAAGGUCCCAAGCGUUAUCCGGAUUUAUUGGGUUUAAAGGGCGCGUAGGCGGCCUUCUAAGUCGAACGUGAAAUCCCUGGGCUCAACCCAGGAACUGCGUCCGAUACUGGAAGGCUUGAAUCCGGGAGAGGGAUGCGGAAUUCCAGGUGUAGCGGUGAAAUGCGUAGAUAUCUGGAGGAACACCGGUGGCGAAGGCGGCAUCCUGGACCGGUAUUGACGCUGAGGCGCGAAAGCCAGGGGAGCAAAGCGGG
rnacentral:rRNA from 1 species